UACAGAGGGUGCGAGCGUUAAUCGGAAUUACUGGGCGUAAAGCGCGCGUAGGCGGCUUUGCAAGUCGGGUGUGAAAUCCCCAGGCUUAACCUGGGAACUGCAUUCGAGACUGCAUUGCUAGAGUAUGGGAGAGGGAAGUGGAAUUUCCGGUGUAGCGGUGAAAUGCGUAGAUAUCGGGAGGAACACCAGUGGCGAAGGCGGCUUCCUGGACCUGUUCGUGACGCUGAGGAGCGAAAGCGUGGGGAGCAAACAGG
rnacentral:rRNA from 1 species